CGGGUCAAAAUAAGUUAGACCCACGUACCCCCAAAUCUUAAAUCCCAAAUGCUAAAAGCGUAAAACCUAAUUUCCAAACUCAGAAGUCAAAAACUUUCAAUCUCUCAUGCGAUUCUUCUUCCUCUUUGAACUGUUGCGAAUCUGCGAUUCUUCUUCCUCAAACCUUCUUCGAUUCUUCUUCCUCCAGUAAAUCCAGACCUUUUUUGGAGAAGAAUUACCUUAGACCAGGUCUACCGGUCUUUAUUUGUCAGAUAAUCAUGGCAUCUCAAAUUGAAGAGAAUCUACCAACUUCAUCUACUAAUGCUAUUUCCUUGGACGAUGAGAGUCAAAGGCCUUCACAACCUGAUGAAGUUGAACUGAAAAAAGGAGAUAUUCCCGAGCAUGAGAUCAUUUCGAGCCUGUGAGUAAGUGAUUUUUGUUUCGCACGACAAUGGCUCCAAAAAGAAAUAAAAAAAAUAAUAAUUGGCCCUGCUGUACAAUUUUCAGAUUUCUGUGCGGCACUUUGUUGAUUUAUUUGUGACUUCUGCCCAUUUUUAUUUUUUUCUUAGUUAUUUAUUUCAAAUACAAAAUGUGUGUCAGGCGUAAUUCGAACCGUAAUCCGGUCGUUAAAAAAAGGAAAAGCAUAAACAAGCAUCUUUGUCCGUGAU